CCUACGGGAGGCAGCAGUGGGGAAUAUUGCACAAUGGGCGCAAGCCUGAUGCAGCGACGCCGCGUGAGGGAUGACGGCCUUCGGGUUGUAAACCUCUUUCAGUAGGGAAGAAGCGUAAGUGACGGUACCUGCAGAAGAAGCGCCGGCUAACUACGUGCCAGCAGCCGCGGUAAUACGUAGGGCGCAAGCGUUAUCCGGAAUUAUUGGGCGUAAAGAGCUCGUAGGCGGUUUGUCGCGUCUGCCGUGAAAGUCCGGGGCUCAACUCCGGAUCUGCGGUGGGUACGGGCAGACUAGAGUGAUGUAGGGGAGACUGGAAUUCCUGGUGUAGCGGUGAAAUGCGCAGAUAUCAGGAGGAACACCGAUGGCGAAGGCAGGUCUCUGGGCAUUAACUGACGCUGAGGAGCGAAAGCAUGGGGAGCGAACAGGAUUAGAUACCCUGGUAGUCCAUGCCGUAAACGUUGGGCACUAGGUGUGGGGGACAUUCCACGUUUUCCGCGCCGUAGCUAACGCAUUAAGUGCCCCGCCUGGGGAGUACGGCCGCAAGGCUAAAACUCAAAUGAAUUGACGGCUGAGACGNGCGACGACGACGACGAGGGAGAGG
rnacentral:rRNA from 1 species